GUUUGGCCGCCUAAGUUCGUGAUCGCCUUGACGAAUAAGGAGAAAGAAGAAGAUUUUAUGGCCAUCAAGGGUUCCAAACUCCCUCAAAGACCCAAGAAAAGAGCUAAGUUCAUCCAACGCACCCUCAAUUUGGUAAGUCCAGGGGCAUGGCUCUGUGAUCUUACACUAGAACGUACGAGGUUAGGGAGAAAAAGGUGUCAAAAAAGAGACCACGAGGACUGAGGCUAUGGGAAACAUGGAUUCCGAUUCCGAGUAGAACCCCCCUUUGGAUUUGAUUGACUUGUAGGUUUCGUGCUAAAAGGUGAUCAUCUGCUGCUGAUAAUCAAUGGGUAAAGAAGGUUAAGCUUUUGUCAAGUGGAGUACGCCAGCGUACUUUUGGCAAGAUUAAUGUGCCCUGUAUUUGAUAAAGUACACUUGGAGAAGAAUCCAAAGCAAAUUCAGUUGGUCUUGAGUAUCUAUCACCUUUCUUUUCCAA